CUCUACAGUACUAACGGAAAAUGAGAAACAACAGAUUGGGUAAGGUCUGUGAAAAUGUGCAACGUUACUAAGCAAUAGCCACAGCAACACAUUCUGUUUUUAAAAAGGAGAAACAAUCUACGGAACAGUGUGCUGUUGUUUCUAUUUCAAGCAAGCAUGAUGUGAAGCAACAGGACUGAAUUAUCUCAAAAGCAUUACACUGAUUGUAAACGAAACUUAAGCAUCGACUUUCAGCACAAAACAGAUGUAACUGCGCAACAAAUUAAAACAUGUAAUGAGCCCUUAUGUUUUCGUAUGUUUAUGUAUUUUGACUAACAGCACAGAUGGUAAUUGUGAUCAAAUGUUUUAAGCGCUGAAUUUCACCAUAAAAUAAAUGAAACAACACAGAAAGAACGAUUUUACACUGCAGAAAACUGAUGUUCUCACAUGUUCUGACAGCACAGAGUGAUUUGAGGACUGUCUAGUAGUUUGUUUUGUCUGGCUCUCUGUCUCCCUGCUCACUUUCCCCAGCAGGUCAUGUGCUCUCCUCUAACUCCUCAGACGUGUCAUCCUCUACCGGUCCACCAGAUGCCCUCAGACCUUCCCGUAGCUCCCAGUCACCUGACUCUCACUCACCUGCUCACCUGUUUCCACUUUCCCUAAUUAGCUCUGCAGUACUUUUCCCCAGUCAGUUGCUAGUUUCUCAGUGUUGCUGUACUUCAUACUUUUGCUUUCCUGCCCCUGGAACCAGUAUCCUGAUACAUAUACCUGCCUGCACCUUUUUCCUGCCUCAUUCCAGUGGAUAAUCAUUUAGUUCUGUUUGGACUUUCUGCCCAUGCUCUUAAGCUUUUGCAUCUUCACUGUUGUCAAUUAAUCAUUGAACUGCUGCCUCACACUCCCCUCCAUGACAGUACCGGACAUAAGAAGACCCCUCGACUGUGGAACAACCUGCCGGUGGAGAUCAGCAUGUGACAUCAGAAGCAUCAGAAGCAGCGUUUUUGGAUGAAGGUGUAACAUCUCUGGAUGAUUUGAGCUUGUCUUCAGGGUAGACCCUGCAGUAUGCACCACACUCCCCCGUGUACACAGAAAGCUCAUUAGAAUAUACCGCCUACAGCUUGAGAACAAUGGCUGUGGUCGAAAAGU